rnacentral:rRNA from 1 species
AUUGCAGAACACAUUGAACAUCGAUAUCUUGAACGCAAAUGGCGGCCUCGGGUCCAUCCCGAGGCCACGCCCGUCUGAGGGUCGGCU